AUUAACAUAGUGUACACGUAGAUAUGACGAUCUUAACGCUUUACAGGUCUCCUUUUGGAUUGUAAAUUUUAUCAGCUGAGUGCCUGGACCACCAACCACACUCAUGCUUGACACCUAGCCGAGAUCCUCCUCUACAAGUAGAGUGCCUCAUCUCCGGAUGCUGUUCCCUUAGCUAUAUCCGAAGCCAUUCCCGAACCUGAGUCGAGGCCAGAAGCUGAGUCGAAGCCGUCGCUGAGUGCUGAUCAUUCUCUUAGCUUUGCCCUACUACUUAGGCUCGGUCAUAUUCGGUUGCAUUACUGACUGCCGACACUGUUUAAGUCAGUGAAGCACUGCCAUCUCCUGAACCCGUGUUUCCAGUCCUAUUAGUCACAUUUGAUAUGAUAAGUAGGUUGGUGAAUAUUUCAUUGGGCAGAAGAAGGACUUAGUGAAUAGUACGUAGGAUAAAGUAGUGAUGACUAAGUAGUUUCAUUUUUUAAAUAGUGAUAUUUAAAUGGAUUUGUUAUAUAUUUUUUAAAUUAAUAAAUUAUACAUAUUAUAUGUAAUUGUAUGCAAGUAUUUGAAAUAUCAUCUAAUGUCAUUAUUUCAUACACCGUACUAUGCUAUUAUAGAAAAUGAAAGAUUCAUUUAUUCAUUAUGAAACAUAUGAUACAUUUUAUUUUAUGAAUUGUAGAAAUAAUAAGUUAUGGAUGAAAGGUUAAGAAAAAAAUACUUUAGAUUACGAAUAUAAAUCUUGACUCGUAAGUAAAUAAAAAAGUGUAAAUUUUCAAGAAAGGGCCCGCAAAGGUAUGGUGGAGACAGAUAUCUAAUUACAAUAGAGUAGAACAUUUGAAAAUUAAUGUCUUUGCCUUAUGAUUGGAUGGCGGGGACCAGUCUGUGGAUCCGGUUACGAGGAAAUGUAGGUUAGGGAAGGGGUGGUACUUAAGGCUCUGACUCAGGAAACCUGUGCCAUAUUCAGUCUCUGGCGUAUUAUUUAGUCGUUUCAAAUCUUUAGUGCCCAAAACGUGAUUUAUUUAGUUAAGCUUACAAGGGAGAAUUAGUUGAUUUCUUUUGAAAUAUAUUAAAAAUGGUCUAUUUUAUUGCGGUUUGAUACAAAAUAAUUUUAGUUCGAUUUUUAAUUUUUUUAGUUAAGUAGUAUUUGAUUUAUUAUAUUUUAUUAGAAAAUCUUUCUUUAGAAAGCUUUCAGAAGAGAAGUGACCCUGUAAUCUGUAAAAUUGGUGAUUAAAUGUAAAUACUUUGAGUAUUGGAAUACAUUCUCAAUAAAAGUUGUUAGCGCAAGCACCUGGUUACAGCAGUUACCAGGUGUUACUGGUGGUCUGGCUGGUCUGAGUGGUUUAGAGGAUGGGUCUCUAAACUGGCUCAGUAAUUUUG